rnacentral:rRNA from 1 species
AACGAACGCUGGCGGCAUGCCUAACACAUGCAAGUCGAACGAAGCCUUCGGGCUUAGUGGCGCACGGGUGCGUAACACGUGGGAAUCUGCCCUUCGGUUCGGAAUAACAGUUAGAAAUGACUGCUAAUACCGGAUGAUGACGAAAGUCCAAAGAUUUAUCGCCGAAGGAUGAGCCCGCGUAGGAUUAGGUAGUUGGUAGGGUAAUGGCCUACCAAGCCGACGAUCCUUAGCUGGUCUGAGAGGAUGAUCAGCCACACUGGGACUGAGACACGGCCCAGACUCCUACGGGAGGCAGCAGUGGGGAAUAUUGGACAAUGGGCGAGAGCCUGAUCCAGCAAUGCCGCGUGAGUGAUGAAGGCCUUAGGGUUGUAAAGCUCUUUUACCAGGGAUGAUAAUGACAGUACCUGGAGAAUAAGCUCCGGCUAACUCCGUG